rnacentral:misc_RNA from 1 species
CCGAGUUUACAACUCCCAAACCCUGUGAACAUACCACUUGUUGCCUCGGCGGAUCAGCCCGCUCCCGGUAAAACGGGACGGCCCGCCAGAGGACCCUAAACUCUGUUUCUUAUAUGUAACUUCUGAGUAAAACCAUAAAUAAAUCA